rnacentral:tRNA from 2 species
GUCCAGUGGCUAGGAUUUCACGCUCUCACCGUGACGGCCGGGGUUCAAUUCCCCG